CCGGCGACCGGCGGCACGGUGAGGUAACACGUAUGGAACCUGCCCGCAGCAGGGGGAUAAGCGGAAGAAAUUCCGUCUAAUACCGCGUAACAACGUUGGGAGGCAUCUCCCGAUGUUUAAAGAUUUAUCGGCUGCGGAUGGCCAUGCGGCGCAUUAGCUAGUCGGCGGGGUAACGGCCCACCGAGGCGACGAUGCGUAGGGGUUCUGAGAGGAAGGUCCCCCACACUGGUACUGAGACACGGACCAGACUCCUACGGGAGGCAGCAG
rnacentral:rRNA from 1 species